GGAGGGCAAGUCUGGUGCCAGCAGCCGCGGUAAUUCCAGCUCCAAUAGCGUAUAUUAAAGUUGUUGCAGUUAAAAAGCUCGUAGUUGAAUUUCGGGGUUAGUAGGUUGGUCAUGCCUCUGGUAUGUACUGGUCUCACUGAUUCCUCCUUCCUGAUGAACCUUAAUGCCAUUAAUUUGGUGUUUUGGGGAAUUUGGACUGUUACUUUGAAAAAAUUAGAGUGUUUAAAGCAAGCUAACGCUUGAAUACAUUAGCAUGGAAUAAUGAAAUAGGACGUUCGAUCCUAUUUUGUUGGUUUCUAGGAUUGACGUAAUGAUUAAUAGGGAUAGUUGGGGGCAUUAGUAUUCAAUUGUCAGAGGUGAAAUUCUUGGAUUUAUUGAAGACUAACUACUGCGAAAGCAUUUGCCAAGGAUGUUUUCAUUAAUCAAGAACGAAAGUUAGGGGAUCGAAGACGAUCAGAUACCGUCGUAGUCUUAACCAUAAACUAUGCCGACUAGGGAUCGGAUGAUGUUAAUUUUUUAAUGACUCAUUCGGCGCCUUACGGGAAAC
rnacentral:rRNA from 1 species